CGACCUCAGGUCAGACGUGGCGACCGCUGAAUUUAAGCAUAUUAGUCAGCGGAGGAAAAGAAACUAACGAGGAUUCCCUCAGUAACGGCGAGUGAAGAGGGAAGAGCCAGCGCCGAAUCCCCGCCCGCGUGGGGCGCGG
rnacentral:ncRNA from 1 species